rnacentral:misc_RNA from 1 species
UCCUCAUUAAAAUGAGGCAGUCUGUCCAGAGUGCUUCGAACUCUCGUUCGAGUGGCAACAGGACACAGGGGUUGCGCUCGUUGCGGGACUUAACCCAACAUCUCACGGCACGAGCUGACGACAGCCAUGCACCACCUGUGCAGGCUCCGAAGAGCACCCGCUUUCACGGGUUUCACCCUGCAUGUCAAGCCCAGGUAAGGUUCUUCGCGUUGCAUCGAAUUAAGCCGCAUGCUCCACCGCUUGUGCGGGCCCCCGUCAAUUUCUUUGAGUUUUAACCUUGCGGCCGUACUCCCCAGGCGGAUGACUUAACGCGUUAGCUGCGCCACCGAAACGCUAAGCGCCCCGACAGCUAGUCAUCAUCGUUUACGGCGUGGACUAC